CGUGUAGGCGGUUGGUCAAGUCUGAUGUGAAAGCCCGGAGCUCAGCUCUGGAAGGGCAUCGGAAACUAGCCAGCUGGAGCGCGAUAGAGGAGGGCGGAAUUCCUGGUGUAGCGGUGAAAUGCGUAGAUAUCAGGAGGAACACCGGCGGCGAAGGCGGCCCUCUGGAUCGUUGCUGACGCUGAGACGCGAAAGCGUGGGGAGCGAACA
rnacentral:rRNA from 1 species